CCCGCAGCAGUGAAAACGCUAACGUCGCCGAGCACAUCGCCGAUGUUGGCGGUGAAUUCAUUGGCCAAGGAAGAAGCGGCUCUGGUAAUGAAACGGGAGUUACCUUUGCUGUUAAAAGUCAUCAGCUUGGUGGGUUUAUAGAAGAAGCAAUGCAAGGAAGGAAACGCAACUGUCGCAGCUCCGUCUCCCGUGUUUUAUGUGGCGGAAGGAUUUCCCGGUGAGCAACGGCUUCAUUACAAAAAUUUCCCUCGUUCAACGUUCAAAACGGUGCGUUGAAUUUCCAUGCCCCACUCUGCUUAUUUUUCUUUUAAUUUUUCCUUUUUUAAAACUUUUUUAUUACUUUUAUUUACAUAAGAAUGAACAUAUUUCCACUAA